GACGAACCGAGCGAACGUUGUUCGGAAUCACUGGGCAUAAAGGGCGCGUAGGCGGCUUAUCAAGUCAGGGGUGAAAUCCGGCAGCUCAACUGUCGAAGUGCCUUUGAUACUGAUGAGCUCGAGGGAGGUAGGGGUCUGUGGAACUUCCGGUGGAGCGGUGAAAUGCGUUGAUAUCGGAAGGAACGCCGGUGGCGAAAGCGACGGACUGGACCUCUUCUGACGCUGAGGCGCGAAAGCCAGGGGAGCAAACGGG
rnacentral:rRNA from 1 species